rnacentral:rRNA from 1 species
UAUCACUAAGNGGAGGAAAAGAAACCAACAGGGAUUGCCUCAGUAACGGCGAGUGAAGCGGCAACAGCUCAAAUUUGAAAUCUGGUCCCUUGGGGCCCGAGUUGUAAUUUGCAGAGGAAACUUUUGGCAAGGAGCCUUCCGAGUUCCCUGGAACGGGACGCCGCAGAGGGUAACAGCCCCGUACGGUCGGAUUCCGAGCCUCUGUAAAGUUCCUUCGACGAGUCGAGUAGUUUGGGAAUGCUGCUCUAAAUGGGAGGUAAACCCCUUCUAAAGCUAAAUACUGGCCAGAGACCGAUAGCGCACAAGUAGAGUGAUCGAAAGAUGAAAAGCACUUUGAAAAGAGAGUUAAACAGCACGUGAAAUUGUUAAAAGGGAAGCGCUUGUGACCAGACUUGUGCCCGGCGGUUCAGCCGUCCUUCUGGGCGGUGCACUCCGCCGGCUCAGGCCAGCAUCAGUUCGCGGCGGGGGAGAAAAUCAGCGGGAACGUGGCUCUUCGGAGUGUUAUAGCCCGCUGUAAUACCCUGCUGCGGACUGAGGUUCGCGCAUCUGCAUGGAUGCUGGCGUAAUGGUUAUCAGCGACCCGUCUUGAAACACGGACCAAGGAGUCGUCCUAGUAUGCGAGUGUUAGGGUGUAAAACCCCUGCGCGAAAUGAAAGUGAACGGAGGUGAGAGCUUCGGCGCAUCAUCGACCGAUCCUGAUGUCUUCGGAUGGAUUUGAGUAUGAGCAUAUUGGGCCGGACCCGAAAGAAGGUGAACUAUGCUUGUAUAGGGUGAAGUCAGAGGAAACUCUGAUGGAGGCUCGCAGCGGUUCUGACGUNCAAAUCGAUCGUCAAAUAUGAGCAUGGGGGCGAAAGACUUAUCGAACCUUCUAGUACUGGUUC